rnacentral:rRNA from 1 species
CAGUAGCCGCGGGAAUACAGAGGAUUUAAGCGUUAUCCGGAAUGAUUGGGCGUAAAGGGCUCGCAGGCGGUUUCUUAAGUCUGAUGUGAAAGCCCCCGGCUCAACCGGGGAGGGUCAUUGGAAACUGGGAAACCUGAGUGCAGAAGAGGAGAGUGGAAUUCCACGUGUAGCGGUGAAAUGCGUAGAGAUGCGGAGGAACACCAGUGGCGAAGGCGACUCACUGGUCUGUAACUGACGCUGAGGAGCGAAAGCGUGGGGAGCGAACAGGAUUAGAUACCCGAGUAGUCCCUGUCUCUUAUAA